rnacentral:lncRNA from 1 species
AGCAGUUCGCCUUUUUAAGCGCGGCGCAUCAAGUGACCAAGACACCUGGCGUACAUCGGAGGAAGAUUACCCUCGUUGCGAUUAAGGGUGUGCGGCGUGGUUUGGAUGAUCAGGGACUCCGGAUAAAGGCGUGUAGCACGAUUUUUUUCCCUGGCAAUCACACGGGCAUCCUUCCAGCUGAUAGCGUGUGACGUAGUUGCGCAGUGUUCGGCCACGGCAUUGGACGCAACAUGUAACUAGUAUGUUUCAUCCCGGCUAGACGGGUUUCCGUCAUACUCUCAACUUCAUCAAGCAUCAAUAUUUGAUAUGCGACACUUUGCCUGCUGGUCGUCAGAAGCUCCCCUAAACCUGACUCGCACAAGUCGUGCCUUGCAGCCGUCUGCUGCUUCGGUUUCUUACGCUUGGAUCUUCAGCAAAGGUGAACUUUGCUCAGGAGAUCGCGGCGUCGAUUGAGCGCACGAGUGUUCUGCAGGUCGUCCUUUGGCCGCAUCCCUUGGAAGCACGUAACAUAAGCAUUUCGAAUGCCGAGUCUACUGCUUCCUUGUCAUACUUUAGGUGGAGAUCCUGUACAAAAAAAAAAAAAGGCAGAGCAAUAAAUAUCUAAAAGGACGGUGCCGCCUUACAGUUACUGUGCUGAAGGCAUCGCUUUCACUCCAGGAUGGUACAUUUGAAAUGCAAGACAGAAAUAAAGCAAUAGUGGACUGAUUCAUGUCUAGGUGUGUGUGUACAGACACUUAGAGACUACACAAUUUGGGAAAGUGAAAUCUUGGAAGUGAGUGCCAAGAAGAGCUGCACUUAAGUGCAAGGCUCGUUCUUGAAAGUUGUUAAGGGCCAGUUACACACUUAAGUCAAAAGUUAAGUAUAAAGUUGGUUUUUGAAUGCGGCAGUUAGUGAAGAGAA